ensembl:lncRNA
CCACUACGGGUAAUGGGGUUCAGGUGGGGCUAGUCUCCCAGGUAGUGGAGGAGAUGCCCACUACGGGUAAUGGGGUUCAGGUGGGGCUAGUCUCCCGGGUAGUGGAGGAGAUGUCCACUACGAGUAAUGGGGUUCAGGUGGGGUUAGUCUCCCAGGUAGUGGAGGAGAUGUCCACUACGAGUAAUGGGGUUCAGGUGGGGUUAGUCUCCCAGGUAGUGGAGGAGAUACGAGUAAUGGGGUUAUGGUGGGGCCAGUCUCCCAGGUAGUGGAGGAGAUACGAGUAAUGGGGUUCAGGUGGGGCUAGUCUCCCAGGUAGUGGAGGAGAUACGAGUAAUGGGGUUCAGGUGGGGCUAGUCUCCCAGGUAGUGGAGGAGAUGUCCACUACGAGUAAUGGGGUUCAGGUGGGGUUAGUCUCCCAGUUGGUGGAGGAGAUGCCCACUAUGAGUAAUGGGGUUCAGGUGGAGCUAGUCUCCUAGGUAGUGGAGGAGAUACGAGUAAUGGGGUUCAGGUGGGGCUAGUCUCCCAGGUAGUGGAGGAGAUACGAGUAAUGGGGUUAUGGUGGGGCCAGUCUCCCAGGUAGUGGAGGAGAUACGAGUAAUGGGGUUCAGGUGGGGCUAGUCUCCCAGGUAGUGGAGGAGAUACGAGUAAUGGGGUUCAGGUGGAGCUAGUCUCCCAGGUAGUGGAGGAGAUGCCCGGUACAGGUAAUGGGGUUCAGGUGGGGCCAGUCUCCCAGGUAGUGGAGGAGAUGCCCGGUACGAGUGAUG